rnacentral:rRNA from 1 species
UACGUAGGGUGCAAGCGUUGUCCGGAAUUAUUGGGCGUAAAGAGCUCGUAGGCGGUUCGUCGCGUCGGCUGUGAAAACCCGGAAGCUCAACUCCGGGCCUGCAGUCGAUACGGGCGGACUUGAGUGUUGCAGGGGAGACUGGAAUUCCUGGUGUAGCAGUGAAAUGCGCAGAUAUCAGGAGGAACACCGGUGGCGAAGGCGGGUCUCUGGGCCGAUACUGACGCUGAGGAGCGAAAGCGUGGGGAGCGAACAGG